rnacentral:rRNA from 1 species
GAUGAACGCUGGCGGCGUGCUUAACACAUGCAAGUCGAACGAAGCAUUUGCGACAGAUUUUUUCGGAAUGAAGUUGCUUAUGACUGAGUGGCGGACGGGUGAGUAACGCGUGGGUAACCUGCCUUGUACCGGGGGAUAGCAGCUGGAAACGGCUGGUAAUACCGCAUAAGCGCACAAUGUUGCAUGACAUGGUGUGAAAAACUCCGGUGGUAUAAGAUGGACCCGCGUCUGAUUAGCUAGUUGGUGAGAUAACAGCCCACCAAGGCGACGAUCAGUAGCCGACCUGAGAGGGUGACCGGCCACAUUGGGACUGAGACACGGCCCAGACUCCUACGGGAAGCAGCAGUGGGGAAUAUUGCACAAUGGAGGAAACUCUGAUGCAGCGACGCCGCGUGAGUGAAGAAGUAAUUCGUUAUGUAAAGCUCUAUCAGCAGGGAAGAUAGUGACGGUACCUGACUAAGAAGCUCCGGCUAAAUACGUG